rnacentral:lncRNA from 1 species
AACAAAGGUGAACUAUGAGAAUUGGAGCAUCCAAAUGAAAGCUCUUCUCGGGUCUCAAGAUGGUUGAGAGGUGGUCCAAGAAGGUUUCGUAGAACCGACAACUACUGCGGGAUAUACGGCGGCUCAAAACAAGGCGUUGAAAGAAAUGCGGUCGAAAGAUAAGGCGGCAUUGUACAUGUUAUUUCGAGCCGUUGAUGAGUCGGGCUUUGAGAAGAUUGCAACUGCGACAACUUCAAAAGAAGCGUGGGACAUUUUAGCAAAUGUGUACAAAGGAGCCGACCGAGUUAAACAAGUCCGACUUCAAACUCUUCGUGGCGAGCUGGAAGGCAU